rnacentral:rRNA from 1 species
AUUGAAUGCUGGCGGCAGGCCUAACACAUGCAAGUCGAGCGGAUGAAGGGAGCUUGCUCCUGGAUUCAGCGGCGGACGGGUGAGUAAUGCCUAGGAAUCUGCCUGGUAGUGGGGGAUAACGUCCGGAAACGGGCGCUAAUACCGCAUACGUCCUGAGGGAGAAAGUGGGGGAUCUUCGGACCUCACGCUAUCAGAUGAGCCUAGGUCGGAUUAGCUAGUUGGUGGGGUAAAGGCCUACCAAGGCGACGAUCCGUAACUGGUCUGAGAGGAUGAUCAGUCGCACUGGAACUGAGACACGGUCCAGACUCCUACGGGAGGCAGCAGUGGGGAAUAUUGGACAAUGGGCGAAAGCCUGAUCCAGCCAUGCCGCGUGUGUGAAGAAGGUCUUCGGAUUGUAAAGCACUUUAAGUUGGGAGGAAGGGCAGUAAGUUAAUACCUUGCUGUUUUGACGUUACCAACAGAAUAAGCACCGGCUAACUUCGUG